CUUCGUUCGUUGUUGAUUUGUCAGGAGCAGCAAAAGAUAAGGAAAACACACAAACACCUGCUCUCUUUCCUCCUCUUUCCCCCUUUUUUUCUAAGAAUCACUGUGAGUAAUGCUGCCCACUCAGAAGCCGAUUCUCUUCACCCCGGGUCCAUUGAUGACCUCGGAUACGGUGAAAGAGGCCAUGCUAACUGACUACGCCAGCCGGGAUAUUCGCUUCGUACAAGCAGUGAAGUUCAUCCGCGAGGAGCUUGUUUCCAUUUCUGGAUUAGACCCCCAAAAGUGGGCGUGCAUCCUGCAGCAGGGUUCGGGAUCAAUGGGCAUCGAGGCAGCCAUCUCCACUAUUUUCCCGCCCACGGGCGGGAAGUUCUUCCUCAUCAACUCUGGCAAGUACUCAGAGAAGCAGGCGUAUGUGGUGAAGAGGCUGCAGUUCCCGAUGGUGAUGCUGAAGAUGGGUGAAGGCGAGGAGCUAAAGAUGAGUGCUCUGGAAUCUAUCAUCCGCGCCAACCCUGACAUCACAACUGUGGGCCUCGUCCACCACGAGACUAGCACCGGAAUGCUCUAUCCAGCCGAGCGAAUAGCAGAGGUGGUUCGCCGCGAGUUGCCCAAGGCCAAGAUUAUCAUUGACGGCAUCAGUGCCUUUGGCGGUAUCCCGUGCAACUACGAAAAGGCUUGCGACGUGCUCGUUGCCGCGCCGAACAAAUGCUUGCACAGCGUACCUGGAAUCUCCAUCAUCCUGGCCCGCCGCUUGCUCAUCGAGGCCGCGAAGGGGUGCGCGCGGAGUGCGACACUUGACCUUAGCAUGCAGCUGAUGUCGUUCGACAAGAGUGGUCAGUUCGCCGUCACACCGCCGGUCCACGUUGUGAUGGCGCUGCAGCAGGCGCUUGUGGAGUACAAGCGCGACGGCGGCUUAUCAGGGAGGCAAAAGGCGUACCAGGCGAAGGCACAGCUUGUCCGCGAAGCCGUGAAAGCGAUGGGCUUCUCGCUUUUCUUGGACGAAAGCAAGCCGAGCUGCGCCGACAUUGUGGUGUGCGUGAACAUGCCAACGGAUCCACGCUGGAGCUUCAAGAAGUUUUACACUUACCUCAACGAGCGCGGUCUCAUCAUCUACCCUGGCAAGGCGUCGCAUGCCGAGACGUUCCGCUUCGGCAUAAUUGGACACACUUCACUUGCCAAUUGCGAUCGCCUCAUGAAGUGCGCCAAGGAAGCGCUCCAAACCAUGGGCAUUGACCACCUUCAGACAAAGAGCAGCAUUUAGGUGCAUGCGUUUGUAUGUGUGGCUGCACAACAACGCCGUUUUACUGUUCACAAAUAGGUAUUGUAGCCGGAGGCCACCAUGGCAUCACAGUUUCCCCUCUUCUCGUUUUGCUCCUCCUGAGUUUUGGGGAUGCUUAAUAGUUGUUCCUCCCACAGCGUCUUUUCUUUUUUCACCUUGUUACUGUUGUAUAUUCCUUCCGCACUGACACCGCUGCUCGUAUACACUAAGAGCCGCAUGUAUUACAGGGUGCAGGGAGGGCUGCUCUAUUCGUGAGCAAUUUCGUAACGUGCCGCAUAUUGAGAACAGCGUUAGAGGCGGAUUCCACUCCAUAGUUCUCCUCUUUUUGUUCGACUCUCAUUUUUCUUUAUCCCUUCCCCUCUCUAUUCCAGCCGCUGCGGGCCAGCUGGUUUAGAAGCAGCGGAAAAGGAAGGGGUGGGGUACGCGAUGCAGGUGCGGACGAUUCAGGCACAUGCGUACGAGGAAAGUCGCCUUUACCUUGUCCGCAUCAGAUUCAUUUUUACGCCUUCUUAUGGAAGGUGUUUUCUCGCUCACCAGGAGGGAACUGCGAAAGUGCGAAAAGCAGCAGCGGCGCCGAAAAGGGGGGCAAAAGCCAGCUCCUUUACCUUUUGUUACAGUCGCACCUGUCAGGAAAAAACAGACACAUACACACAUACGCAUAUCUAGGCACGAAAGCCCCGAGGCGAGUGUUCUCACUGUUUUUGAGCGGUGUGUGCAUGAUCAUCUCAUAGGCAGAGAUAGAAUAAAGCGAAUGAUUCGCCCAGACUGUGCAUUGUCCCCGCCGCUGCAGGGCCUCGUGAUAAAUGAUGGCGCGUAUGGCCAUCCAUGCAUCACGAGUGCAACCCCCGUUUCUUUAUUUUUGGUUGGGCUCUAGUGACAUUUGUGUUUUUCGUUUCCGAGGGGCAAUCGCGAACUUUUUUUGUGCCCCCCCCCACUCUGUGCUCUUCAUGGUGUUCUGAGGUCCUUGUAGCAGUGGGAGUGAUACAAACAGCGCGGUAUCUCGUGAACCAGAAGAAGCUGCGGGCAGUGGACAAGGAAGUAUAAAAGUGGUCUGCGGAUCUAGACUUGACGGAUAUCCUCCCAGACGUUCGUUGAAUGUGCUACCCUGCUAGAGGAGUGGAGGCGUUGUGCCGAAGCAAGUGCAAUGACGUUGUGCGCUACAUCGACUACAAGUAUGGCAAGGCAUCAGUAGCCUACAAGAUGUGCAACGAGUCAGCGUACGAGUAGACUUCUGACAAGUUACUCGGAAGAGCUCGCUGUUUUGUUUUCUUCGACCAUACCACUGCGCCGCUGAAGUGAAUGCCGUCCUUCGUGAAGGUUGCUAGGACGACCCCCGCUGCCAAGCACCCAAGCGGGGCGAUGGUAAUUCACCGCGAAGCGAGCAAAGGACGAACCGGUGUGAUGAUGUACUGUGUGCUUCUGGGGCUCGAGCCUGCUUUCUCACGCUCUGGUGAGGCGUUCAUAAAGUACUAUGAUCAUCUUGCUGAGCGAGUUCGGUGGCAAGGUGGCUGCUGACGAACCCGUUAUGGCUCUCACGCGCGUCUGCCUUAUCGCGACGCCUCGGUAUUCGCCUCUGCAUACCCUCAAGCUUUCCGUGGACAGUGGGGAGGCACCGAUGCUUUCAAUUUGCCUGCACAGCAGUAGAGAAAAGCAGCAGAUGGUCUUGGAUCGGCACUACCCGACAAUGGAACGUGGAGUGGAGGUGGGGAUGCUGAUAUUGAUGUGUGACGGGGAGCCGCGAGUUCUCCACCUGUGCGGAGACUGAAGGUAUGAGAUUCUCGACUCCGGCGGUAGCCUGAUGGGUGGUACUCUCCGUGCACACACUCUUCAAAGAGACAAAGUACAGUGGUAGGGCCUUAGACUAGCUGGCGAUGGAGUGCAGUGAGGAGUGUUGCACCGAGUUCCACAGUCGAGGAACCCCUCUAGCCAAAGUCGCUCGGCUGAUUCUCGUUCUUUCGUGUCCACCCAUGUCGCGGCGGCGCACUAAAGCGCUUGGCUAUUCUCUCUGUGUGUUGCCUUGUUUCGCUUACUGUGUGGAGAUGCGUGAUGGUGCCACACAUGCGUGCGUUUGUUCGCCCAACGCACGAGAAGUCUCUCUGCGAUCAUCCUUUUGUUUGCGGUGCCGUUCUUCCCGUUCCUCAUCACCUUCUCCCUCUUGGGCCUCUCUGUAUCUCUCCACUGCUGCUGUCUUCCACCGAGUUGCGUCUCUAUGACCACCCCGUCUCCCCCCCCUUUCCCUUUUCUCCCUUUUUUCCUCAGUGUCUCCACGCACAUACAUUUCUCUUAUCGCGUGUGGAUUUUUGUUUUUUGCCUGUUGUGCUGCGUUGUCCUUGUCAUUUGUUUGUGUCGCCGCGCACACCCUCAGCUUGAUUCGAGCAAAUCAGCAUCGAAGCAGAGAAGACUAAAGGAAAUUCUUCGAUUUCUUACUUCUACAGUACGUGGAAGUGCGAUUUGCGCAUCAUACGCACUUUUCUGUCCCCUCCCCACCCCCUCUUCACGCCUUUGAUCAUGCGUCGAAUGUGGAGAGCGACCGCCUCAGUCCUCUCUGGCUGUCGCACUCCUCUGUCCUUUCAUGUGCCUGGCUUGUGCAGAAAAGACUUUUUCUCG
rnacentral:misc_RNA from 1 species